UGGGGAAUAUUGGACAAUGGGCGAAAGCCUGAUCCAGCAAUGCCGCGUGAGUGAUGAAGGCCUUAGGGUUGUAAAGCUCUUUUACCAGGGAUGAUAAUGACAGUACCUGGAGAAUAAGCUCCGGCUAACUCCGUGCCAGCAGCCGCGGUAAUACGGAGGGAGCUAGCGUUGUUCGGAAUUACUGGGCGUAAAGCGUGCGCAGGCGGUUUUGUAAGACAGAUGUGAAAUCCCCGGGCUUAACCUGGGAACUGCGUUUGUGACUGCAAGGCUGGAGUACGGCAGAGGGUGGUGGAAUUCCACGUGUAGCAGUGAAAUGCGUAGAGAUGUGGAGGAACACCGAUGGCGAAGGCAGCCCCCUGGGCCUGUACUGACGCUCAUGCACGAAAGCGUGGGGAGCAAACA
rnacentral:rRNA from 1 species